rnacentral:rRNA from 1 species
CGAGUUGAUCAUGGCUCAGAUUGAACGCUGGCGGCAUGCCUUACACAUGCAAGUCGAACGGCAGCACGGGAGCAAUCCUGGUGGCGAGUGGCGAACGGGUGAGUAAUAUAUCGGAACGUGCCCAGUCGUGGGGGGAUAACGUAGCGAAAGCUACGCUAAUACCGCAUACGAUCUAUGGAUGAAAGCGGGGGAUCGCAAGACCUCGCGCGAUUGGAGCGGCCGAUAUCAGAUUAGGUAGUUGGUGAGGUAAAGGCUCACCAAGCCGACGAUCUGUAGCUGGUCUGAGAGGACGACCAGCCACACUGGGACUGAGACACGGCCCAGACUCCUACGGGAGGCAGCAGUGGGGAAUUUUGGACAAUGGGCGCAAGCCUGAUCCAGCAAUGCCGCGUGAGUGAUGAAGGCCUUAGGGUUGUAAAGCUCUUUACCCGGGAUGAUAAUGACAGUACCGGGAGAAUAAGCUCCGGCUAACUCCGUG